UUAAAGUUAAACAGUAAAAGAUAUAUUCUCGAAAUUUAAAGAAUUUGGCGGUGCUUUAAUCUUAUUAGAGGAACCUGUUUCAUAAACGAUAAACCACGAAGUAUCUCUCUUGUUUCUAGUAGUUUGUAUACCGUCAUUAUCAGAUAAUUUUUUUAUAGAUAAAUUAUUAAAAUUAGUGAACCUAAGAAUAUUAGAUCAAGGUGCAGCCUGUAAACAAGUGAAAAUGGGUUACAAUAAAUUAAUUUACUAACGGAGCAUUGUUUGAAAUAUUCUUUGUGAAGGAGGAUUUAAUUGUAAAAUUAUUUUAAUAAGUUA
rnacentral:rRNA from 1 species